UACGUAGGGUGCAAGCGUUAAUCGGAAUUACUGGGCGUAAAGCGUGCGCAGGCGGUUUUGUAAGUCUGACGUGAAAUCCCCCGGGCUUAACCUGGGAAUUGCGUUGGAGACUGCAAGGCUGGAGUCUGGCAGAGGGGGGUAGAAUUCCACGUGUAGCAGUGAAAUGCGUAGAGAUGUGGAGGAACACCGAUGGCGAAGGCAGCCCCCUGGGUCAAGACUGACGCUCAUGCACGAAAGCGUGGGGAGCAAACAGGAUUAGAGUA
rnacentral:rRNA from 1 species